AGGAGGCAGCAGUAGGGAAUCUUGCGCAAUGGCCGAAAGGCUGACGCAGCGACGCCGCGUGGGGGAGGAAGGUCUUCGGAUCGUAAACCCCUGUUGCCCGGGACGAACGACGGGUUUUGACCCGUGUGACGGUACCGGGUGAGGAAGCACCGGCUAACUCUGUGCCAGCAGCCGCGGUAAUACAGAGGGUGCGAGCGUUGUCCGGAAUCACUGGGCGUAAAGGGCGCGCAGGCGGCCUGGUAAGGUUGCGGUGAAAGCCCUGGGCUCAACCCCGGGUCGGCCGUGGCAACUGCUAGGCUGGAGCACAGUAGAGGCGGGUGGAAUUCCGGGUGUAGCGGUGGAAUGCGUAG
rnacentral:rRNA from 1 species